AGUGAACGCUGGCGGUAGGCCUAACACAUGCAAGUCGAACGGCAGCACAGGAGAGCUUGCUCUCUGGGUGGCGAGUGGCGAACGGGUGAGGAAUACAUCGGAAUCUGCCCAGUCGUGGGGGAUAACGUAGGGAAACUUACGCUAAUACCGCAUACGACCUUCGGGUGAAAGAGGGGGAUCGCAAGACCUCUCGCGAUUGGAUGAGCCGAUGUCGGAUUAGCUAGUUGGCGGGGUAAUGGCCCACCAAGGCGACGAUCCGUAGCUGGUCUGAGAGGAGGAUCAGCCACACUGGAAGUGAGACACGGUCCAGACUCCUACGGGAGGCAGCAGGGGGGAAUAUUGGACAAUGGGCGCAAGCCUGAUCCAGCCAUACCGCGUGGGUGAAGAAGGCCUUCGGGUUGUAAAGCCCUUUUGUUGGGAAAGAAAUCUUUCAGGCUAAUACCCUGGGAGGAUGACGGUACCCAAAGAAUAAGCACCGGCUAACUUCGU
rnacentral:rRNA from 1 species